AUGAACGCUAGCGGCAGGCCUAAUACAUGCAAGUCGAGGGGCAGCGGGAGUAGCAAUACUUGCCGGCGACCGGCGCACGGGUGCGUAACACGUAUACAAUCUGCCCAUGUCUGGGGGAUAGCCCGGAGAAAUCCGGAUUAAUACCCCAUAAUAAAUGAAACGGCAUCGUUUUAUUUUGAAAGCUCCGGCGGACAUGGAUGAGUAUGCGUCUGAUUAGUUAGUUGGUGAGGUAACGGCUCACCAAGACCACGAUCAGUAGGGGAUCUGAGAGGAUUAACCCCCACACGGAUACUGAGACACGGAUCCGACUCCUACGGGAGGCAGCAGUAAGGAAUAUUGGACAAUGCCCGCAAGGGUGAUCCAGCCAUGCCGCGUGCAGGAAGAAGGCCCUAUGGGUUGUAAACUGCUUUUACACCGGAGAAAACCCCCGCUCGUGAGCGGGGCUGAUAGUAUGGUGAGAAUAAGCAUCGGCUAACUUCGU
rnacentral:rRNA from 1 species